UAGGGAAUCUUCCACAAUGGGCGAAAGCCUGAUGGAGCAACGCCGCGUGUGUGAUGAAGGGUCUCGGCUCGUAAAACACUGUUGUAAGAGAAGAAUGACAUUGAGAGUAACUGUUCAAUGUGUGACGGUAUCUUACCAGAAAGGAACGGCUAAAUACGUGCCAG
rnacentral:rRNA from 1 species